UACGUAGGUGACAAGCGUUGUCCGGAUUUACUGGGCGUAAAGAGCGCGCAGGCGGUCGAUCAAGUCGAGUGUGAAAGCCCCCGGCUCAACUGGGGAGGGUCAUUCGAUACUGAUCGACUCGAAGGCAGGAGAGGGUAGUGGAAUUCCCGGUGUAGUGGUGAAAUGCGUAGAUAUCAAGUGGAACACCAGUGGCGAAGGCGAGUCUCUGGACAUUUCCUGACGCUGAGGCACGAAAGCCAGGGGAGCAAACGGG
rnacentral:rRNA from 1 species